rnacentral:lncRNA from 1 species
GUCUGUCUCUCUCACUCUCUCUCAUAUUGGUUCUUGAGAGACGUCCGUGGACCUAAAAAAAAUAAAGAGGCCAAUCUAGUAAAAAUGGGAUUAUAUUCUCUAAUCACAGGGGUAAGAGGACCAAGUGGGUUUGGUUCAGCUUCAACUGCUGAAGAGGUUACUCAAUGGAUUGAUGCAACUCAUCUCACUGCAAUUAUCACAGGUACAUACAUAUAUAUACUCGUACUAUAAGUUGAUUGUGUUUAGCUAUCAAUGAAACAAUUUAGAUUACAGUUAUGAUACCAUAACAUCAUUAAUCAUUUUCACUAGAUACAUUUUGUGGUUUUUCCGGUUACCAAAUUCGUUUGAUUUAGGUUUUUUUUUUAUAUUGUUAUAUUUGUUGGUCAUAUGAUCAUAUCAUAGAGGAGGGGCAGAUGUUGUCAUAAACGCCAAACUAAGUCAAUGCCGUCGUAGCUAUAUUAUUGCUAACAUAAAAUGUAAAAUUGUUUAAACAGAAAUUAUAUUAACUUGACGUGUGAUUACCAUUGUAAAAGGAGGGACAGGAGGAAUAGGGAUGGAGACAGCAAGGGUAAUGGCAAAGAGAGGUGCUCAUGUGGUGAUUGGUGCCCGAAACAUGGGAGCUGCAGAAAACGCCAAAACUGAGAUUCUCAGACAAAACGCAAACGCACG